UGAACGCUGGCGGCGUGCCUAAUACAUGCACGUCGAGCGACCAGACGAGGAGCUUGCUCCUCUGACGUUAGCGGCGGACGGGUGAGUAACACGUGGAUAACCUACCUAUAAGACUGGGAUAACUUCGGGAAACCGGAGCUAAUACCGGAUAAUAUAUUGAACCGCAUGGUUCAAUAGUGAAAGACGGUUUUGCUGUCACUUAUAGAUGGAUCCGCGCCGCAUUAGCUAGUUGGUAAGGUAACGGCUUACCAAGGCAACGAUGCGUAGCCGACCUGAGAGGGUGAUCGGCCACACUGGAACUGAGACACGGUCCAGACUCCUACGGGAGGCAGCAGUAGGGAAUCUUCCGCAAUGGGCGAAAGCCUGACGGAGCAACGCCGCGUGAGUGAUGAAGGUCUUCGGAUCGUAAAACUCUGUUUUUAGGGAAGAACAAAUGUGUAAGUAACUAUGCACGUCUUGACGGUACCUAAUCAGAAAGCCACGGCUAACUACGUG
rnacentral:rRNA from 1 species